rnacentral:rRNA from 1 species
AUUGAACGCUGGCGGCAUGCCUUACACAUGCAAGUCGAACGGCAGCGCGGGGCAACCUGGCGGCGAGUGGCGAACGGGUGAGUAAUAUAUCGGAACGUACCCUGGAGUGGGGGAUAACGUAGCGAAAGUUACGCUAAUACCGCAUACGAUCUAAGGAUGAAAGUGGGGGAUCGCAAGACCUCAUGCUCCUGGAGCGGCCGAUAUCUGAUUAGCUAGUUGGUGGGGUAAAGGCCUACCAAGGCAUCGAUCAGUAGCUGGUCUGAGAGGACGACCAGCCCCACUGGAACUGAGACACGGUCCAGACUCCUACGGGAGGCAGCAGUGGGGAAUUUUUCACAAUGGACGCAAGUCUGAUGAAGCCACGCCGCGUGCGGGAUGAAGGCCCUCUGGGUUGUAAACCGCUGUCAGGGGAGGGGAAACGUGCAGUGUUAACAGCGCUGCAUUCGACUGCUCUCCAAAGGAAGCCCCGGCAAAACAUGUGCCAGCAGCCGCGGUAAUAC